UUUCCGUAGGUGAACCUGCGGAAGGAUCAUUAAUGAGUUGUCAUGGGGUUCGAUGCUGGCAGCCAAUUUUUGGAUGCAUGUGCUUGCCCUAACAAUCAUCUUCCAAACACCUGUGCACAUUUUUGAGGGAGUCUUGAGUUGGUUGCCGCUCUUGGGUGAUUUUCUCACAUUCCCUUAAAUCAUUAUACGCUAUUAACAAUGUUGAACGUGCUCUGUGCCGCAAGGCUAUUAAUAUAAUACAACUUUUAACAACGGAUCUCUUGGCUCUCGCAUCGAUGAAGAACGCC
rnacentral:misc_RNA from 1 species